GGGGUUGUGGCUCAGUGGUAGAGUACUCGCCUCCCAUGUGUGAGGCCCUGGGUUCAAUCCUCAGCACCA
rnacentral:tRNA from 1 species